GGUUUCCUGGUGUAAUGGCUAGCACUUCGGAUUCUGAUUCCGGCAAUCUGGGUUCGAUUCCCAGGGAGACCU